rnacentral:misc_RNA from 1 species
GUUCGAGCGCCAUUUUCACCAUCGAGCCCUGCUCGGCGAUGGGCCUCGUCCUUACGGACGGGCUCGAAACCCGUGGGCGCCGUCGUCCGGCCCUGAGCGUAGCAAGAGAAAUCCCUCGCUCGGUGUGUCGUCCGGUGGCCGCCCUGACAACUAUUUUAAAGGUUGGCCUCGGAUCAGGUGGGGAUACCCGCUGAACUUAA